AUGCUUGCCUUGGCAGCACGUAUACUAAAAUUGGAAUGAUACAGAGGUUAGCAUGGCCCCUGUGCAAGGAUGAUAUGCAAAUUUGUGAAAUGUUUCAUAUUUUA
rnacentral:snRNA from 1 species